rnacentral:rRNA from 1 species
GAUGAACGCUGGCGGCGUGCCUAAUACAUGCAAGUCGAGCGAACAGACGAGGAGCUUGCUCCUCUGACGUUAGCGGCGGACGGGUGAGUAACACGUGGAUAACCUACCUAUAAGACUGGGAUAACUUCGGGAAACCGGAGCUAAUACCGGAUAAUAUAUUGAACCGCAUGGUUCAAUAGUGAAAGACGGUUUUGCUGUCACUUAUAGAUGGAUUCGCGCCGCAUUAGCUAGUUGGUAAGGUAACGGCUUACCAAGGCAACGAUGCGUAGCCGACCUGAGAGGGUGAUCGGCCACACUGGAACUGAGACACGGUCCAGACUCCUACGGGAGGCAGCAGUAGGGAAUCUUCCGCAAUGGGCGAAAGCCUGACGGAGCAACGCCGCGUGAGUGAUGAAGGUCUUCGGAUCGUAAAACUCUGUUAUUAGGGAAGAACAAAUGUGUAAGUAAUUAUGCACGUCUUGACGGUACCUAAUCAGAAAGCCACGGCUAACUACGUG